rnacentral:lncRNA from 14 species
GGCCCCAUGGCCCGGGCGGCAGUGGACGCAGCCCCCUCCAGCCUCGCCGCCGCCCCUAACACGCCUCAGCCCGGCCCGCCGGAGGCCUCACACUGCGCAGCGCUANNNNNNNNNNNNNNNNNNNNCCUCUGGCGCAGCGGGAGGGAUACCCGGAUGUUAGGUCUGGGAGGGCUGCAAAUGCACGGGGGAUAGCGGUGCGGCCGUUACAGGUAUUACAUCACUCUCUGCCCCAUGCCCCAAGUCCGUACUGUGCCGCACCGAGCAUGCGCGGAGGCACGAGUUUGGGCGGGGUAAGGGGCGAAGACGUUAGCGGCACCGUCCUCUUUCCUGAGGUGGGAGGCUGAGAUGGUUCUUCACAUCUCUCUUCAUCUUGGUGGUCCUCCAGUGCACUGUCUCCAGUAUGUUGAAGAAUCUACUUACCCAGAAAAGAACCAGCAGAGGGUGCCUGAACUAGAGAGCAAGUAUGAGAUUUGUGCUGGAAUUGAUAAUGUAAGUGUAAAAAAGGAAAUAAACUUUAAUUUCCUUCUCUAUUAAAAUGAAAGAGGACUAUGUUAAUGAAAAUGAAGAUUGAAACUAACUGUCUUAGGGAAACUAAAUUAUUAAAAACCUGUCAAAAAAGUAGUGCUAAUAAUGAAGAGAAAAAAUAUUUGGGGACUAGGAAAGGAUUUUUCAUUAUCUGAUUCUGUCGUUGGCUAACAGCUGCUAAAGGACUGGUUCCCUGUGUUUACUGAACACAUAAGCUACUCCAUAAGAUACCUCUGUGUAAGGGGAUGGAGCAAGAGAAAAUCUUUAAAUGCAGGAUUCAGAGCAGGUUCUUAAUGCAUGUUCCCUGGCCACCCCACAGUGGAGUUAGUUUCUGCUGACUACAGUGGGUGCUCAGGGAGACAAAGUUCAGCAGAAUCAGACUUUUGGACACCACCUUCUCCUCCUCCUGUCCCUCACUUAAUAUUAAAUGUUGCAAGAGAGAAAGGUUUUGGUAGUUUCUUUCAUGAAUAGUCUUUUCAGUACCAGUACAGAGGGUCCAUGCAGAAAGAAACAUUUAUUGAUUCAUCACAAUAUAUUUAAAUGGAAUAAAUAUUGUUUUACAUAUCUAAAUAUGUAACUG